GCAUUCGUAGCUCAGCUGGAUAGAGCAACCGCCUCCUAAGCGGUAGGUCGGGGGUUCAAAUCCCUUCGAGUGCGCCA
rnacentral:tRNA from 1 species